GCGGAUCCUAAAGGCACCAGGAGCUUCACAGCUUCUAUGGUAAUGGAAUUGAUGGCUGUUUCUCUUAGAUAAAUCUUUGACUGUGAUUAUUGGACUCAACGGGUGACAAGGUGCUUCUCUUAAAAUUACAGUUAGAAAAGGGAGAGGCGAUGAUAAAUGCAUUUUCUUCAUAAACUAUUUCUUGGAAUUAAGUAUCCGUCAUAAGGCACAGUGAAAACCUGGAGACAUAAAGGGGCAGAAGAGGAACCCGAAAGUCAUCGUGACUCUUCCAGGAAGUCUCUGGUCGGCCAAGAGAAGCCAACUGAUCACUCUAUGAGGUGUGCCCUCUCAUUAUGACCGAAUGAAUGGAGAGAAUCAAUUUUAAUUUUGAAUGUUCUCACACAAACAAAUGAAGCAGUAGCCGCCAGAGGGCGGGUGCCUGGCAGACGGACAAGUGGUGCCUGCUCCUGCUGUAUGGUCACAUUGGCAAGUUUCAAAUAUAAAAUAAUUCGGGCAGUGGCUGAAUUGUCACCAAUUCUGGGAAUCAAAGUAAAACCUUUAAAAUGUAUUUUUCCUAAAAGAAGAUGUGGGAUAGGGUAGUAAAUGGUUCUAUAAAUUCACUUCAGACACCAACACUGAAGAGCAUGCAGUCUCUCCUCAGCGUCAGCAGUGGGCUGGUUCCAGAACCUUCUCUGGAUGUCAGCAUUGGUAGGUGAUCAAGUCCAUUGUAUAAGAUGGCUUGUAACCCAUGCAGCUGCUUCUUUGUAGUUAAAGACUCUUUAUGCUAUAUUGUACUUAUUAUACUGUAUAAAUGCCACGCAAGCAAGCAAUGGUAAGCUGGAAUGUUUAGGGAGCAAUGACAAAAAUCAAAAUCUAUUACAUGUCCAAAGUUGUUUCAAAUCAUUUCCUAUCCACAGUUGGUUGAAUCUGACAUGGCUAGGUAACCCAGGAAUACCAAUUGCAUUUUAAAUACCAACUGCAUUUUUAGUGUGCGUACAAUGUGUGCAUGUUUGUGUGCAUCGUGUGCGCUUACACGAA
rnacentral:lncRNA from 1 species